AAUGAACGCUGGCGGCAGGCCUAAGACAUGCAAGUCGAACGCCCUAGCAAUAGGGAGUGGCGCACGGGUGAGUAACAUGUGGGAAUAUGCCUUUUGGUACGGAACAACGUUUGGAAACGAACGCUAAUACCGUAUGGUCCCUCCGGGGUAAAGAUUUAUCGCCAAAAGAUUAGCCCGCACUAGAUUAGCUAGUUGGUAAGGUAAUGGCUUACCAAGGCGACGAUCUAUAGCUGUUCUGAGAGGAAGAUCAGCCACACUGGGACUGAGACACGGCCCAGACUCCUACGGGAGGCAGCAGUUAGGAAUAUUGGACAAUGGGCGCAAGCCUGAUCCAGCCAUGCCGCGUGAGUGAUGAAGGCCUUCGGGUUGUAAAGCUCUUUAGCUGACGAAUAUAAUGACUGUAGUCGGAGAAUAAGCCCCGGCUAACUUCGUGCCAGCCGCCGCAGUAACAC
rnacentral:rRNA from 1 species